rnacentral:lncRNA from 1 species
GUCUCCACGGAGCCCCCCUUCCCCUUUCUUUGUCACUUUUAAUCCCAUUCCUCGAACUGGAGGGUUUUGGGUGCAGGCGCUCCCGGGGAAAGCAGUUUGUGCUCAGUGCGGUGAGUCCCCUCCUCACCGCCCCGGAGGCUCCAGCCCGAGCCUCUCCGCCCGCGGGGACUCGAGCCUGCAGCUUGCUCGGCUGGGUUUCUGCCCUGCCCGCUCCCUAGCUCUGCUGCAGGGCCGGCAGCGGCAGUUCUGCCUGAAACGCAAGAAUUAAUAGUCUGCUCUGGGGAGACAGUGGGGAAGCCGUGAGCGACCGGGCCUUUUCCAGAGGCCACUAUUUACCUUGAAGUUUCCUGUUGACCCUCUGCUGACCCACCCGCUUAAAUAGAUUAGAACUUAAACAUCGCAAUUCUGAUACAUUUAUUUCUUUGAAGUUCUGCAGCAUAAGGAAUCCUAACGCGAAUCCGUGAACAGUCUAUUCCGACGGCGCAGAGAAAUCUCACGCGGGGAUCCCCACGAUGUGCCGGCGCUUAACGCAGACGCCCGAACCCAGGGGAAGGCUGCGACUCCGCGAUGAGUGACAUGCGGGCUUGAGACGUUCUAAAGGAACGUGGACCGAGUUAGGGAACGUAACUGAAGCUCAUUUUGUCUUAGUUAUGGACUAUGAGUCCUUAAUAAAUUUGUUUCCAAGACACGUGAAAGCAAUCAA